GAUCCUGGCUCAGAACGAACGCUGGCGGCGCGCUUAAGCAUGCAAGUCGAACGGCAAGGAUGGUAGCUUGCUACUAUCCCUAGAGUGGCGGACUGGUGAGUAACACGUGGGUGACCUACCCUUGAGAUGGGGAUAGCCAUUAGAAAUAGUGGAUAAUACCGAAUACGGCUCUACGGACUCUGGUUUGUAGAGGAAACAGGCUACGGCCUGGCUCGAGGAUGGGCCCGCGUCCCAUUAGCUAGUUGGUGAGGUAAGAGCCCACCAAGGCGACGAUGGGUAUCCGGCCUGAGAGGGUGUACGGACACAUUGGGACUGAGAUCCGGCCCAAACUCCUACGGGAGGCAGCAGCUAAGAAUAUUCCGCAAUGGACGAAAGUCUGACGGAGCGACGCCGCGUAGGAUGACGAAGGCCGAAAGGUUGUAAAAUCCUUUUGCUGAUGAAGAAUAAGCGUGGUAGGGAAUGACCGCGUGAUGACGUUAGUCGGUGAAUAACGCCCCGGCUAACUACGUGCCAGCCGCCGC
rnacentral:rRNA from 1 species